AAAGCUCUUUCGCCUGUGAAGAUAAUGACUGUAGCAGGUAAAGAAACCCCGGCUAACUCCGUGCCAGCAGCCGCGGUAAUACGGAGGGGGUUAGCGUUGUUCGGAAUUACUGGGCGUAAAGCGCGCGUAGGCGGACAUUUAAGUCAGAGGUGAAAUCCCAGGGCUCAACCCUGGAACUGCCUUUGAUACUGGGUGUCUUGAGUUCGAGAGAGGUGAGUGGAAUUCCGAGUGUAGAGGUGAAAUUCGUAGAUAUUCGGAGGAACACCAGUGGCGAAGGCGGCUCACUGGCUCGAUACUGACGCUGAGGUGCGAAAGUGUGGGGAGCAAACAGGAUUAGAUACCCUGGUAGUCCACACCGUAAACGAUGAAUGCCAGUCGUCGGGUAGUAUACUGUUCGGUGACACACCUAACGGAUUAAGCAUUCCGCCUGGGGAGUACGGUCGCAAGAUUAAAACUCAGAGGAAUUGACGGCC
rnacentral:rRNA from 1 species